AAAGAGACAAACAAAUGAGUUGAUAUGUCGCUAUCAUUGUAAGAGAAUCCAAUUCAUAAACACGACACUACAACAAAAAAACAAAAAAUAGAGAGAUUUGACAGAAGAAAUCAAGAAAACGAAACUUCUGAGAAACUUACGUACCUUAUCUCUUAUCUUUCCUUUUGAUGAUAAUAAUAACUAUAAGAGUUGGAACAAGUCGGAUUCAUGGCCCAUUCGAAGUUUCUACGAAGCUACCUAAUGACCAGGUGUCUUCGUUAACAACAAAACGCAUCGUCAUGAGAUGGAAUCACAGCCGUUCAUUUCUUCAACUCUCACAAUCCAACGUCGAUAGUUUCAAGAAGAGACUUUGUAGACCACACGAUUAUGUUCAGACGUGACAACCACAUCUGUACACAUCAACUCACACUUUGUAUAUCUACCCCCAUUGCACUCAAAUCAAAACAGUUCACAAAUUUUCUUCUCUCCUCAUGGAACCGCCAAGCAAGAAACCUUUUGUAGCUACUACUACGAAGAUGGAGAC
rnacentral:lncRNA from 1 species